UUUCCGUAGGUGAACCUGCGGAAGGAUCAUUGUCGAUGCCGCACAAACCAGGAUUGACGCGCGAACGAGUCCACAAACACCCGAGGCGGGGAAGGGCCGGCCGUGCGCGGCCGGCGCCCCGUCUCAAACAAGAACAAAACCCCGGCGCGGAAAGCGCCAAGGAAGCCAAACGUUUCUGCUCUCCCCGCCGGCUCCGGAGACGGCAUCCGGUCGGGGCGACGAGUGACCACAAGAGUUAAGAACGACUCUCGGCAACGGAUAUCUCGGCUCUU
rnacentral:misc_RNA from 1 species